rnacentral:misc_RNA from 1 species
UUAUUAAAUUAACUUUAUACUCCGACGUAAAGAUGCAGUGUUUGAUGACCUCCGGGGAGAAUGCCGCGAACGGCAGGGUCGCCCCCAAAGCAACAUGAUGCGUUCACAAAGGGUUGGAGGUCGGGAUUGCUCCCUCACUCGGUAAUGAUCCCUCCGCAGGUUCACCUACGGAGA